rnacentral:rRNA from 1 species
ACGUAGGUGACAAGCGUUGUCCGGAAUUAUUGGGCGUAAAGGGAGCGCAGGCGGUUGGAAUAGUCUGAUGUGAAAGCCCACGGCUUAACCGUGGAAGGUCAUUGGAAACUGUCCAACUUGAAUGCAGAAGAGGUAAGUGGAAUUCCAUGUGUAGCGGUGAAAUGCGUAGAUAUAUGGAGGAACACCAGUGGCGAAGACGACUUACUGGUCUGUGAUUGACGCUGAGGCUCGAAAGCGUGGGUAGCGAACAGGA